rnacentral:rRNA from 1 species
CGCGGCCUAUCAGCUUGUUGGUGGGGUAAUGGCCUACCAAGGCGUCGACGGGUAGCUGGUCUGAGAGGACGAUCAGCCACACUGGGACUGAGACACGGCCCAGACUCCUACGGGAGGCAGCAGUGGGGAAUCUUGCGCAAUGGGCGAAAGCCUGACGCAGCAACGCCGCGUGAGGGAUGACGGUCUUCGGAUUGUAAACCUCUUUCGAGCAGGGACGAUAGUGACGGUACCUGCAGAAGAAGCUCCGGCCAACUACGUGCCAGCAGCCGCGGUAAUACGUAGGGAGCAAGCGUUGUCCGGAUUUAUUGGGCGUAAAGAGCUCGUAGGCGGCUUAGUAAGUCGGAUGUGAAACCUCCAGGCUCAACCUGGAGUCGCCAUCCGAUACUGCUAUGGCUAGAGUCCGGUAGGGGCCCACGGAAUUCCUGGUGUAGCGGUGAAAUGCGCAGAUAUCAGGAGGAACACCGGUGGCGAAGGCGGUGGGCUGGGCCGGCACUGACGCUGAGGAGCGAAAGCGUGGGGAGCGAACAGGAUUAGAUACCCUGGUAGUCCACGCCGUAAACGUUGGGCACUAGGUGUGGGACCUUGUCAACGGGUUCCGUGCCGCAGCUAACGCAUUAAGUGCCCCGCCUGGGGAGUACGG